UACGGAGGGUGCAAGCGUUAAUCGGAAUAACUGGGCGUAAAGCGCACGCAGGCGGUUGGAUAAGCGAGAUGUGAAAGCCCCGGGCUCAACCUGGGAACUGCAUUUCGAACUGUCCGACUAGAGUCUUGUAGAGGGGGGUAGAAUUCCAGGUGUAGCGGUGAAAUGCGUAGAGAUCUGGAGGAAUACCGGUGGCGAAGGCGGCCCCCUGGACAAAGACUGACGCUCAGGUGCGAAAGCGUGGGGAGCAAAC
rnacentral:rRNA from 1 species